rnacentral:rRNA from 1 species
CCUACGGGCGGCAGCAGUGGGGAAUAUUGGACAAUGGGCGAAAGCCUGAUCCAGCCAUGCCGCGUGUGUGAAGAAGGCCUUCGGGUUGUAAAACACUUUCAGUGGGGAAGAAAGCCUUGGGGCUAAUACCCUCGAGGAAGGACAUCACCCACAGAAGAAGCACCGGCUAACUCCGUGCCAGCAGCCGCGGUAAUACGGAGGGUGCGAGCGUUAAUCGGAAUUACUGGGCGUAAAGCGCGCGUAGGCGGUCUGAUAAGCCGGUUGUGAAAGCCCCGGGCUCAACCUGGGAACGGCAUCCGGAACUGUCAGGCUAGAGUGCAGGAGAGGAAGGUAGAAUUCCCGGUGUAGCGGUGAAAUGCGUAGAGAUCGGGAGGAAUACCAGUGGCGAAGGCGGCCUUCUGGACUGACACUGACGCUGAGGUGCGAAAGCGUGGGUAGCAAACAGGAUUAGAUACCCUUGUAGUC